rnacentral:lncRNA from 1 species
CAUAAAUAAAAAAAACUGUUAGCUUGCUAACUUCAGGUAAUGUCUAACGUUAAUUUCCUUUCACUUCUGCCCACUCUCACCAUCACAACUUCAUUUGCAGCUAACUGGUAUAUUGACAUGCCUCUCCUCUCACAGGCUUUGCGUUGACACAAAUAUGGUGAAGAUCUUUAUUGGAAACCUCCCUAACGAGGUCGAGAAGGAUGAGCUCGAGGCUCUGUUUACUCAACAUGGUGCAGUGACAGAAUGUGCAAAGUUCAAAAACUAUGCCUUCGUCCACAUGGAUGACCGUAAGUCUGCCACCGAAGGCAUCCGCAGCCUGCACCUCUUAAAGCUUCAUGGCAGGCCAAUCAAUGUGAAGCCAAGCAGGGGAAAGAAUCAGGGUCCGGUGAAACUUCACGUGGCUAACGUGGAGAAAGGGGAAGAAGAUGCGCUCCGCACCUUGUUUGAGGAGUAUAGCACAGUCACAGAAUGUGCUGUUGUCAAAAACUUUGCUUUUGUCCACAUGUCCAACUCUGAUGAGGCCAUGGAUGCCACAGAGGGAUUAGACAACUCUGACUACCAAGGCAGACAUCUUCACGUUCAGAUAUCAAAAAGACGUCCCAGACGGGAGGAAGGGGAUUAAAAUAAUGGCGCAUACUGGCCAGCACCUCACGGCUACCCUGUUGACAGGGGGAGCCGGAACACCCUCAUUACAGAGGUUGCAUGUCAGGGGGGUACCCUGGCCUCCCUUCACCCCCUCCCCCUAGACGAGCCCCAUACCCCCCAGAGCGUGCUUAUGAGCGUGGUAGAUUACUAUGAGAAGUACAGAGCUCGCCCUGCCCUUUACGGUUGCUUCUCAGGCUAUGGAGAUGAGAGGCGAGUUGGCGCCAUACCCCCACCACCACCCCCUUCUGCCAUGGUUAGGGCGCGCCUUUCGGCCUUCUCUCUCGCCCGGUAAGAGCGUCACCUACCUCCCACCUCUGUCCUCCUACUACGCCAUGACCACAGUCCCAUCAGGAGACCAUCUCCUCCCUCCAUGCCCCGCAUGGGUAACGGCUACUCCUAUGAGCGCUUCCAGCUCUCUCCUCUGUCCAGGCCUGCAAUGUACAACCUACCACGUUCCAGGGACCCCUACGCUGACAGGGUCCCUCCACUGCCUCCUGCACGCUACUCUUACUGAACGCACACUGGCGUUUGACUCAAGUCCUCUAGGCCUCGUGUUCUUUCCUUGCACAAGAGGUUGGUACGGAAGUGGAAUUCUGCUCAAAGGUAUUGUGAAAUUAUUUGAAGUGGAAUUGUGA